UACGAAGGGGGCUAGCGUUGCUCGGAAUCACUGGGCGUAAAGCGCACGUAGGCGGACUCUUAAGUCGGUGGUGAAAUCCUGGAGCUCAACUCCAGAACUGCCUUCGAUACUGAGAGUCUUGAGUCCGGGGAGAGGUGAGUGGAACUGCGAGUGUAGAGGUGAAAUUCGUAGAUAUUCGCAAGAACACCAGUGGCGAAGGCGGCUCAACUGGCCCGGGUACUGCG
rnacentral:rRNA from 1 species